rnacentral:rRNA from 1 species
ACGGUCCGAAAGGACCGCUAAUACCGCAUAAGUUCCCCGGGACCUCGGUUCCGGGGAGGAAAGCCUCGCAAGGGGCGCUCGAGGAGGGGCCUGCGUCGCAUCAGCUAGUUGGUGGGGUAACGGCCUACCAAGGCGAAGACGCGUAGCUGGUCUGAGAGGAUGAUCAGCCACACUGGGACUGAGACACGGCCCAGACUCCUACGGGAGGCAGCAGUGGGGAAUAUUGGACAAUGGGCGAAAGCCUGAUCCAGCCACGCCGCGUGAGUGAUGAAGGCCUUCGGGUCGUAAAGCUCUGUGGGGAGGGACGAAUAUCCGGGUGAAGAACCCGGCUUGACGGUACCUCCUUAGCAAGCACCGGCUAACUUCGUGCCAGCAGCCGCGGUAA